rnacentral:rRNA from 1 species
UUGGAGGGCAAGUCUGGUGCCAGCAGCCGCGGUAAUUCCAGCUCCAAUAGCGUAUACUAAAGUUGUUGCAGUUAAAAAGCUCGUAGUUGAAUUUCGGGGUUCUACCGUUGGUCGGGCUUUGUCUGUACUGGUGUGUAGAAUUUCUACCUUCUGGGGAACCAUCAUGCUAUUAAUUUAGCGUGGUGGGAAACCAGGACCUUUACCUUGAAAAAAUUAGUGUGUUCAAAGCAGGCUUAUGUCUGAAUACAUUAGCGUGGAAUAAUAGAAUAGGACGGUGGUCCUGUUUUGUUGGUUUCUGAAUCACCGUAAUGAUUAAUAGGGAUAGUUGGGGGCAUUAGUAUUCAAUUGUCAGAGGUGAAAUUCUUGGAUUUAUUGAAGACUAACUUCUGCGAAAGCAUUUGCCAAGGAUGUUUUCAUUAAUCAAGAACGAAAGUUAGGGGAUCGAAGACGAUCAGAUACCGUCGUAGUCUUAACCAUAAACUAUGCCGACUAGGGAUCGGACGAUGUUAAUUUUUCUUGACUCGUUCGGCGCCUUACGGGAAAC